rnacentral:rRNA from 1 species
CCUACGGGUGGCAGCAGUGAGGAAUAUUGGUCAAUGGACGAGAGUCUGAACCAGCCAAGUAGCGUGAAGGAUGACUGCCCUAUGGGUUGUAAACUUCUUUUAUAUGGGAAUAAAAUGUUCCACGUGUGGGAUUAUGUAUGUACCAUAUGAAUAAGGAUUGGCUAACUCCGUGCCAGCAGCCGCGGUAAUUCGGAGGAUGCGAGCGUUAUUCGGAUUUUUUGGGGUUGAAGGGAGCGUAGGUGGAUUGUUAAGUCAGUUGUGAAAAUUUGCGGCAUAAACGUAACAUUGCAGUUGAAACUGGCAGUCUUGAGUACAGUAGAGGUGGGCGGAAUUCGUGGUGUAGCGGUGAAAUGCUUAGAUAUCACGAAGAACUCCGAUUGCGAAGGCAGUUCACUGGACUGCAACUGACACUGAGGCUCGAAAGUGUGGGUAUCAAACAGGAUUAGAUACCCUGGUAGUC